rnacentral:rRNA from 1 species
UACAGAGGUGGCAAGCGUUGUUCGGAAUUACUGGGCGUAAAGGGCGCGUAGGCGGUCUGUUGCGUCGGGAGUGAAAACUCAGGGCUUAACCCUGAGCCUGCUUCCGAUACGGGCAGACUAGAGGUAUGCAGGGGAGAACGGAAUUCCUGGUGUAGCGGUGAAAUGCGCAGAUAUCAGGAGGAACACCGGUGGCGAAGGCGGUUCUCUGGGCAUUACCUGACGCUGAGGAGCGAAAGUGUGGGGAGCGAACAGG